rnacentral:rRNA from 1 species
UGGCCUACGGGGGGCAGCAGUGGGGAAUUUUGGACAAUGGGGGCAACCCUGAUCCAGCCAUUCCGCGUGAGUGAAGAAGGCCUUCGGGUUGUAAAGCUCUUUCAGCUGGAGUGAAACGGUGCGCUCUAACAUAGCGUGCUAAUGACGGUACCAGCAGAAGAAGCACCGGCUAACUACGUGCCAGCAGCCGCGGUAAUACGUAGGGUGAGAGCGUUAAUCGGAAUUACUGGGCGUAAAGCGUGCGCAGGCGGAUUGUUAAGCAAGAUGUGAAAUCCCCGGGCUUAACCUGGGAAUGGCAUUUUGAACUGGCAGUCUAGAGUGCGUCAGAGGGGGGUGGAAUUCCACGUGUAGCAGUGAAAUGCGUAGAGAUGUGGAGGAACACCGAUGGCGAAGGCAGCCCCCUGGGAUGACACUGACGCUCAUGUACGAAAGCGUGGGUAGCAAACAGGAUUAGAUACCCCAGUAGUCC